rnacentral:rRNA from 1 species
CAGGACGAACGCUGGCGGCGUGCCUAACACAUGCAAGUCGAGCGAGAAGCCUUUCAAGACUCUUCGGAUGACUUUAAAGGUGGAAAGCGGCGGACGGGUGAGUAACGCGUGGGCAACCUGCCUUAUACAGGGGGAUAACACCGGGAAACCGAUGCUAAUACCGCAUAACACAUAGAUAUCGCAUGGUAUUUAUGUCAAAGGAGAAAUCCGGUAUAAGAUGGGCCCGCGUCCAAUUAGCUAGUUGGUGGGGUAGAGGCCUACCAAGGCGACGAUUGGUAGCCGAACUGAGAGGUUGAUCGGCCACAUUGGGACUGAGACACGGCCCAGACUCCUACGGGAGGCAGCAGUGGGGAAUAUUGCGCAAUGGGGGGAACCCUGACGCAGCAACGCCGCGUGAAGGAUGAAGGUCUUCGGAUCGUAAACUUCUUUGAUUGGGGAAGAAGCAGUGACGGUACCCAAAGAACAAGCCACGGCUAACUACGUGCCAGCAGCCGCGGUAAUACGUAGGUGGCAAGCGUUGUCCGGAAUAACUGGGUGUAAAGGGCGUGUAGGCGGGGAUACAAGUCAGAUGUGAAAAUCCGUGGCUCAACUGCGGAAACUGCAUCUGAAACUGUAUCUCUUGAG